GCUUGGGCCCAGCUACGCCCUGCACAGAUCUGUAUCUCUUGAGUAUUUUUCAAAUCACUGCUCUGAGGGUGCGUGUUUCUGAGUAUAACUCUGACUCCUAA